GACGAACGCUGGCGGCGUGCUUAACACAUGCAAGUCGAACGGAAAGGCCCUGCUUUUGUGGGGUGCUCGAGUGGCGAACGGGUGAGUAACACGUGAGUAACCUGCCCUUGACUUUGGGAUAACUUCAGGAAACUGGGGCUAAUACCGGAUAGGAGCUCCUGCUGCAUGGUGGGGGUUGGAAAGUUUCGGCGGUUGGGGAUGGACUCGCGGCUUAUCAGCUUGUUGGUGGGGUAGUGGCUUACCAAGGCUUUGACGGGUAGCCGGCCUGAGAGGGUGACCGGCCACAUUGGGACUGAGAUACGGCCCAGACUCCUACGGGAGGCAGCAGUGGGGAAUAUUGCGCAGUGGGCGGAAGCCAGAUGCAGCAACGCCGCGUGCGGGAUGACGGCCUUCGGGUUGUAAACCGCUUUCGCCUGUGACGAAGCGUGAGUGACGGUAAUGGGUAAAGAAGCACCGGCUAACUACGUG
rnacentral:rRNA from 1 species